CAAUACCGGGUGGCGACCGGCGCACGGGUGAGUAACACGUAUCCAACCUGCCCUUUACUCGGGGAUAGCCUUUCGAAAGAAAGAUUAAUACCCGAUAGCAUAAUGAUUCCGCAUGGUUUCAUUAUUAAAGGAUUCCGGUAAAGGAUGGGGAUGCGUUCCAUUAGGUUGUUGGUGAGGUAACGGCUCACCAAGCCUUCGAUGGAUAGGGGUUCUGAGAGGAAGGUCCCCCACAUUGGAACUGAGACACGGUCCAA
rnacentral:rRNA from 1 species